rnacentral:rRNA from 1 species
GACGAACGCUGUCGGCGUGCUUAACACAUGCAAGUCGAACGGAAAGGCCCUGCUUUUGUGGGGUGCUCGAGUGGCGAACGGGUGAGUAACACGUGAGUAACCUGCCCUUGACUUUGGGAUAACUUCAGGAAACUGGGGCUAAUACCGGAUAGGAGCUCCUGCUGCAUGGUGGGGGUUGGAAAGUUUCGGCGGUUGGGGAUGGACUCGCGGCUUAUCAGCUUGUUGGUGGGGUAGUGGCUUACCAAGGCUUUGACGGGUGGCCGGCCUGAGAGGGUGACCGGCCACAUUGGGACUGAGAUACGGCCCAGACUCCUACGGUAGGCAGCAGUGGGGAAUAUUGCACAAUGGGCGGAAGCCUGAUGCAGCAACGCCGCGUGCGGGAUGACGGCCUUCGGGUUGUAAACCGCUUUCGCCUGUGACGAAGCGUGAGUGACGGUAAUGGGUAAAGAAGCACCGGCUAACUACGUG